AUUGAACGCUGGCGGCAGGCCUAACACAUGCAAGUCGAACGGUAACAGGGAACAGCUUGCUGUUUCGCUGACGAGUGGCGGACGGGUGAGUAAUGUCUGGGAAACUGCCUGAUGGAGGGGGAUAACUACUGGAAACGGUAGCUAAUACCGCAUAACGUCGCAAGACCAAAGAGGGGGACCCUCGGGCCUCUUGCCAUCGGAUGUGCCCAGAUGGGAUUAGCUUGUUGGUGGGGUAACGGCUCACCAAGGCGACGAUCCCUAGCUGGUCUGAGAGGAUGACCAGCCACACUGGAACUGAGACACGGUCCAGACUCCUACGGGAGGCAGCAGUGGGGAAUAUUGCACAAUGGGCGCAAGCCUGAUGCAGCCAUGCCGCGUGGAUGAAGAAGGCCUUCGGGUUGUAAAGUACUUUCAGCGGGGAGGAAGGGAGUAAAGUUAAUACCUUUGCUCAUUGACGUUACCCGCAGAAGAAGCACCGGCUAACUCCGU
rnacentral:rRNA from 1 species